GCCAUCCGGUUGAGGUGAUUUACUAUUCCGCUUGAGUUUUUCAAGUUGCUCCAGAACUUCCUCCUCAGAGAUUUCAAUUUGUGUUAAGGCCACACCAGGGUUUCCUGUGUAAAGUGCCUUUGGAAUAGGAAUUUCCCCCAUCAUUCUCAAAGAGGAGGGAAAUGUGGCCUGAAAACUGUGAGAAGAAAUGGUUCAAGACAAAAUACAGGAAGAGGAAAGACCUCUGCCGUUGAUAAGUUCUCCUGACUUUCAGGUCCCAAUCUCCUGGGGUCAAUCAGUUGAUCUGUUUUAUGAAUGGGCUGGUAAGUAUGUAUGUAUAUGUGUACAGGCACGAGCUGUGGAAUUGGAAGAUGAAAUAAAACUUGAAUGAGGAAGAG